AAUUUCAGGGCCGUUGUCGCCUCCGGGCGGUCCGCGGGUCCCGAGCGGACUGGGACUCUGGAGACGUGCCCCCAACCCCACCGCCAUUCACCCUGUCAUUGCAGGGGAGAGAACAGAAUAAAGACGGGUACAUUUUCCAUCUCACCUCUGAACCUCGGUUAGGAAAACGCUGUAGCCCUGACUAGUGGGCUCAAGGGCCGACUGGAAAAGGGCGAGUCAGCGUUCAAAGCCGAUUCGGGGCAGCCCUCUCUAACGCAGAGGGCCGAGGAUAAGAAGACGACAAUGUGUUAGGGGCCCUCCGGGCUAGGACUGUCCUCACCACUUUGUACAUUGCCAAAGUAAAUAUAACGUAGAGGUCAAGCGCAGGCGCUUUGUGGGCAGACAUGACUGAGCUCCACUCGCGACUCCUCUAAUGGCGUGCCAGCUGCGGACCUCAUUAGCCCCGCCUCAAUCAUUCAGUAUGUUUUGGUUGUCUACAGUGUACGAAGCCCUGUUCUCACAAUUAGAUAAAAUGAGUGUGAAGUGCUCAACAUAAUUCCUAGUGUAGUAGGCCUUCAAAGAACUAUUAUCAUUAUUAAUUACUCAUAUAGAAUACAACUUUAUGAAAUGAUAGGAUCCCAUUUUAAGAUGAGGAAAAUGAGGCUAUCAGAGACGUUAAGGAACUUAAUGUCACACAGUUAAUAAACGAUAGAGGUGCGAUUUGAACACAGGUUGUCUAAUACCAGACCUGCAUUUAUAACUGCUGCUUCCCAAGUUAUAGAUAUUUCAGCAUUUUAUGUAGUCACAAUUGAAGACCAAAUAUUUAGUUACAGACUAAGUUGGCAUGUUAUUACUGAAUAAGAUGCUAAGGUAUCUACUAAAGAUUUUAAGUGCAAAAGGCAUUAGAGAAGAAUUUACUGUGGAUUUUUUGCAGGUUCUGAUUGUAAUUGUAUCACCUUGAGAAAGGAGGAAAUGAAAGCAGAUUAUCAGGCAUACUUUUUUAACUCUAAGCAACUUUUUGCAUUACUUUCUAAGGACCAUCAGCAACAAAAAUCAAUGGUUUCUAAUGUUGAUAUAUUUUCCUCUACCAAAAAA
rnacentral:lncRNA from 10 species